GGAUGUGAGGGUGAUCUGGCUGCGACAUCUGUCACCCCAUUGAUCACCAGGUUUGAUUUGGCUGAUCUGGCUGGCUAGGAGGGUGUCCCCUUCCUCCCUCACCACUUCAUGUGCGUUCCUCCCAAAGCUGUGCGCUCAGUGGAAGAGGACGACCAUCCCCAGUAGAGGAGGACCGUUCUUAGGUCAAGGGUAUACAAGUAGCUGUGCUCCCCUGCUAGAACCUCCAAACAAGCUCUCAAGAACAGCACUUCCUGUUUAUCCACUGAUAGGCAUUUGGGUUGUUUCUACAUCUUGACUAUUGUUGAGUUGUGAUAUAAUGAACACCA
rnacentral:snRNA from 1 species